rnacentral:rRNA from 1 species
UACGGAGGGUGCAAGCGUUGUCCGGAAUCACUGGGCGUAAAGGGCGCGUAGGCGGCUCAUGAAGGCUGUGGUGAAAGUCCGGGGCUCAACCUCGGAUCGGCCGUGGCGACUCGUGGGCUGGAGCACUGUAGAGGCGGGUGGAAUUCCUGGUGUAGCGGUGGAAUGCGCAGAUAUCAGGAGGAACACCGGUGGCGAAGGCGGGUCUCUGGGCAGUAACUGACGCUGAGGAGCGAAAGCGUGGGGAGCGAACAGG